GGCUGAGGCGGGAGAGUUGCUUGAAUCCAGGAGGCAGAGGUUGCAGUGAGCCAAGUUCAUGCCACUGCACUCCAGCCUGGGCAGCAAAGCAAGACUCCAUCUCAAAAAUAAAUAAAUAAAUAACCUUAGAAUCAAAUGUGUCACACUAAGAAUCAAAUGUAACACAGAGACAUUAUUUGAUUCUAGUUGAAGAUACCAGCUGUAAAAACACAUUUUGGACUCAAGAAAUUUCAAUGCAAAUUAUGCAUUAGAAGAUAGCUUUACCUACUGUAGCAAAACUAGAAAACAAAUAAGAAAAUGAAGAAAAUAACAAUUUUCCUGUAUUCUUCCACCCAGAGCUAUCUGCAGGUGCUCCUGUGUUCAGUCCUUCCAAACCAUUUUCUGAAGAAUAUCUACCUGUGCACAAAACACACUCGCAGUGCUCAGCCCCACUGACCUACCACAUGAGAUAUAUAUCCUCUGUAAACUGUUUGCAUAAUUUAUAUUUUUGACAUCCUUAUGUUACUAAGUAUUUUUCUGCAGAAUCAUUUUAAUACUUAAAUUCAUUUACUUAGCUCAAUAGUAUGGAAGGAUCACAUAUUGUGUGUCUUGUAUAUAUAAAUAAACAUUCUUGAGCUAAGGUUUUAAACUCAAUCUUAAUUUUUACUUCAGGACAAAUUCCUAGAAGUGAAAUUGCUGGAUCUAAAAGAAUGUAUAAUGCUGUUGAAAGUUAUGGUAGUAGGGGUAGGGGCAAGGUGGUGACCAGAAGAAGAUACUGAGGUGGGGGAGCAUCAGGGUUGACACUGGUAAGUAGGUGUAGUUUUUAUACAGGAAGGUUGAGUUCAUGAAAAUUCAUUAAACUGUAUAGUUAGAUUGUACUUUUAUGUAAAACAUUUAUAAAAGGUUUUUUAAAAGUAAUCAUUUUUGGAGGAGCAUAACAAGGAGUCUCAAAUGCAUGGUUAAAAAAAUCUAAAGUCUUCCACUAUGAUGUUGCAAUAAGUAUACAAACCAUGUUUUAAAUAAUAUAUUUGGCUAAAACUUUUUACAGAAUAAGGUAAUGUAAUAUAGAGGAUAAAAGAGAACAUGUUCUUUAAAAUGUUUUUCAUAGGUACUGACUUGAAACCUUUUGAAGCCAUGAUUUAAUUCAGUACUUGCAGGAAUAACUGAAGAAAGAAAAAAGAAUUACAAUAAGUCUAAAGUGGCAUUUGGUGGAAAUGUUGAAGCCUUAUUUUAAUUUCACCUAUAGCAUUUUCCUAAAUUUGCUAUUAUAAAUGUUUACAUCUUAAAUUCACUAUAAGCACUUUACUUUGAUUUAUAUCAUCUCAUCGUGAAUAAAUAGUAGAUUAAUGAAUUCUGUAGUAUUUCAGCUAUAUAUAUACAAAACAAAACACAUCGGGAAGAAAAUAACCUUCCAGUUAAAAAACUAUUUGAGCCCGGGCAUGGUGGUUCAUGCCUGUAAUCCCAGCACUUUGGGAGGCCAAGGCGGGCAGAUCAUUUGGUGCUCAGGAGUUCGAGACCAGCCUGGCCAAUAUGGUGAAACCCCGUCUCUACUAAAAAUACAAAAAUUAGCUGGGCUUGGUGGCCAGUGCCUGUAAUCCCAGCUACUUGGGAGGCUGAGGCAGGAGAAUCACUCGAACCCAGGAGGUGG
rnacentral:lncRNA from 1 species